rnacentral:lncRNA from 1 species
GGAAAUUCACGGCCAUUCAAAGAAACUUAUGUUCGAUAACAUUGUUCCAUAAUCAUAAAUGAAAAAGAGAGUGAAAGAUCUACAAAUAUUCAGAACACCGUAAAGGAUAGAAAUGAGGAUGAAUUUUGAAAAAUAGCGAUGGCCCCCUUCUCCAAAUUCUCCCCCAUUGCCAUAAUGCUAUGUCUUUAACCUCCUACGAUUCCACCAAAGGGUGUGAAAUCCUUAGUAAGAGCACUUCCUAGUACCUUCAAAAGGACAAGAAACCAUCCUUAGCUGUCUUUAUCACUCCUUUGUCUCUCCACCAAUAUUCUCCAAUCUUUCUCCUAAUUUCAGAGGUUAUCCAUAUAUAACAUUCGACCUAAUCUUCUAUUUGUGGCAACUGGCAACUACGACCACUGUCAGCCAUUAGUCCAUCCCUCCAUGAGGUCACUCUUCACCUCUAUUUUGCUUGGCUGUACUGACAACUGGAAUGCCGGCUAACUAACUAUACACACACCCCAUCAGGUCCUGUUAUGUACCGAUCCCGAAUUGUAAGUUUCGGAAUCGGUAGAGACUGUUUAUGCAGCAAAGACAGAGAAAGUCUCAACAAUGGAGAAGAAGAACAAAGGGCAUGGGAUGUUAAAACAAGCAGCAAGAAACACCAUAUGAUAUGUCAGCUAUCUGCAGAAGGCCCCAUGUGGUCCAACGCCACAAACGACGACCAACAACAUUCCCCUAAAGAGAGAGAGAGAGAGAGAGAGAGCUAAUAAAAAUCUAAACUUAAUAUGUCCACCACUUGUAUCAUUUUCCAUGCCUGGCUCCAUUUCAGAAGCUGAAGCUAUAACCAUGUUCUGAGGCUGAGAAAAAAGGUGGUCACCAUGCAAGAAAAAAAAAAGCUGAAAGAUUUGUUUGCUUGAUUUGUUCCUUUCAUCUUUUCUUUUUGUAUUUCAGCAUCUCUCCUUCAAGAAAGGCUGGCAGUUGGCAAACCAACUGAAACAGUGGUGUUUCGGUUGCUUAAUAUGGUUUCGGUAACUAAACCAAACCAUAACAAAUGUCCGAACCCUGAACCGGAAUGGUACCCCCUUUAUCAAUCAAGUGCCUGGUGUGCCCACCAAUUAUUCAUACUAUAAAUGUACAACCACCACCUCAUUUUGCUGAUAUAUUGGAAUGACAUUCAACUCAAAUGCAGAAUGCUUAAUCAUGUUUGUUCCCAAGUAGACUUAUCUAAACUUCACUAGCAAAAAGGCAAACAUUAAAAAUGUCACAUUUCCCAAUCAUCUAUAUGCAGCAAGGACAAUAAGCAUAGCCUAAAUGCUUUCGGCACAAUUCUGCAGAUAAUAAUACGCAAGUGGGUUUACGGAAGCAAAAUAGUACUACCGGGACAACGAUUCUAUAUCACGCUUACAGCUAACGAAGAGUACGAUCAAUUACCUCGGCAUUGUCGUGGAGAGAGGCUCUUCCAUUCCCACUAUGUGAAUAAGAUUGAUUGCAGGAAGAGAAUUGAAUGCAGGGAGGGGAAUAGAAAGGCCCACCAAUCUUUGCAGAAAACAACUGAGGUACUACUGCUGAGCCACAAGAGGAGCCUUAGGUAUGUAUUUUUUUCAUUAUAAGUUUGAAAGAGACCCUUGCCUGUUGGUCCAGCACAUGAAGGCCAUGUUACCUUUGCCUCUCCAGAAUCUCCCCCCCCC